CGAAGACUGCGAAGUGGAGCAAAUCCCUAAAAGCCAUCUCAGUUCGGAUUGCAGGCUGCAACUCGCCUGCAUGAAGCUGGAAUUGCUAGUAAUCGCGGAUCAGCAAGCCGCGGUGAAUACGUUCCCGGGCCUUGUACACACCGCCCGUCACACCAUGGGAGUUGGAAGCGCCCGAAGUCGAUGACCCAACCGCAAGGAGGGAGUCGCCGAAGGUGAAGCCAGUGACUGGGGUGAAGUCGUAACAAGGUACC
rnacentral:rRNA from 1 species